rnacentral:rRNA from 1 species
AGAGUUUGAUCCUGGCUCAGAUUGAACGCUGGCGGAAUGCUUUACACAUGCAAGUCGAACGGCAGCACGGGUGCUUGCACCUGGUGGCGAGUGGCGAACGGGUGAGUAAUGCGUCGGAACGUACCGAGUAAUGGGGGAUAACGCAGCGAAAGUUGUGCUAAUACCGCAUACGCCCUGAGGGGGAAAGUGGGGGACCGCAAGGCCUCACGUUAUUCGAGCGGCCGACGUCUGAUUAGCUAGUUGGUGGGGUAAAGGCCUACCAAGGCGACGAUCAGUAGCGGGUCUGAGAGGAUGAUCCGCCACACUGGGACUGAGACACGGCCCAGACUCCUACGGGAGGCAGCAGUGGGGAAUUUUGGACAAUGGGGGCAACCCUGAUCCAGCCAUUCCGCGUGAGUGAAGAAGGCCUUCGGGUUGUAAAGCUCUUUCAGCUGGAACGAAACGGUGCGCUCUAACAUAGCGUGCUAAUGACGGUACCAGCAGAAGAAGCACCGGCUAACUACGUGCCAGCAGCCGCGGUAAUACGUAGGGUGCGAGCGUUAAUCGGAAUUACUGGGCGUAAAGCGUGCGCAGGCGGAUUGUUAAGCAAGAUGUGAAAUCCCCGGGCUUAACCUGGGAAUGGCAUUUUGAACUGGCAGUCUAGAGUGCGUCAGAGGGGGGUGGAAUUCCACGUGUAGCAGUGAAAUGCGUAGAGAUGUGGAGGAACACCGAUGGCGAAGGCAGCCCCCUGGGAUGACACUGACGCUCAUGUACGAAAGCGUGGGUAGCAAACAGGAUUAGAUACCCUGGUAGUCCACGCCCUAAACGAUGUCAACUGGUUGUUGGGGGAGUGAAAUCCCUUAGUAACGAAGCUAACGCGUGAAGUUGACCGCCUGGGGAGUACGGUCGC